GAUGAACGCUGGCGGCGUGCCUCAAACAUGCAAGUCGAGCGGGGCUAUGUAAUAUCGCAAGGUAGAACAUAGCCUAGCGGCGAACGGGUGAGUAACACGUGGGUAACCUGCCUGGAAGACAGGGAUAACGAUUCGAAAGGGUCGCUAAUACCUGAUAAUAUCCUUUCAUCGCAUGGUGAUAGGAAGAAAGGGGAAACCCGCUUUCAGAUGGGCCCGCGUCCCAUCAGCUAGUUGGUAAGGUAAAGGCUUACCAAGGCGACGACGGGUAGCCGGUCUGAGAGGAUGUACGGCCACACUGGGACUGAGAUACGGCCCAGACUCCUACGGGAGGCAGCAGUUGGGAAUCUUAGGCAAUGGACGAAAGUCUGACCUAGCGACGCCGCGUGAGGGAAGAAGGCCUUCGGGUUGUAAACCUCUGUCAUGGGGGAAGAGUAAGUGACGGUACCCAGAGAGCCCUGCUACUACGUGCCAGCAGCCGCGGUAAAGUACUCUAU
rnacentral:rRNA from 1 species